AUGGGCACGGCGGCCGUGCACCUCCUGCUGCUGCUGGGACUGCUGCACGCCGGGCCCGGCGGCGAGGGCAGGAAGGGCUGGCGGCGGCGAGGCCCGGCGGCCCGCGAGCGCGGCGAGGCGGCGGCGGCGGCGGCCGCCGAGAGCUUCCCGUUGGACUUCACCGCCGUGGAGGGCAACAUGGACAGCUUCAUGGCGCAGGUCAAGAGCCUGGCGCAAUCGCUGUACCCCUGCUCGGCCCAGGCACUGCCGCACGACCUGCGCCUGCAUCUCCUGCACAACUCCUCGGUCACCUGCAACGACGGCAGCCCGGCUGGGUACUAUCUGAAGGAAUCCAAGGGCAGCCGGCGGUGGCUGCUGUUCCUGGAAGGAGGAUGGUACUGCUUCAACAGGGAGAACUGCGACACCCGCUACGACACCAUGCGACGGCUGAUGAGCUCCCGGGAGUGGCCCGCGACCCGCGUGGGAACUGGGAUCCUGUCCUCGCAGCCAGAAGAAAAUCCCCACUGGUGGAAUGCAAACAUGGUAUUCAUCCCGUAUUGCUCAAGUGAUGUUUGGAGCGGUGCCUCCUCCAAGUCUGAGAAAAAUGAAUAUGCCUUCAUGGGAGCGCUGAUCAUUCAGGAGGUUAUAAAGGAGCUGGUAGGAAAAGGUCUGAGCACUGCAAAAGUGUUGCUGCUAGCGGGGAGCAGUGCUGGAGGGACAGGAGUGCUCCUGAACGUGGACCGAGUGUCAGAGCAGCUGGAGGAGAUGGGUUAUCAAGGGAUUCAGGUUCGAGGUUUGGCAGACUCUGGAUGGUUCUUGGAUAACAAACAGUAUCGCAGAACUGACUGUAUCGAUACCAUAACGUGUGCUCCAACAGAGGCCAUCAGAAGAGGAAUAAGAUACUGGAAUGGCAUUGUUCCCGAACGCUGUAAGCUGCAGUUUAAAGAGGGAGAGGAAUGGAAUUGUUUUUUUGGAUAUAAGAUUUACCCCACUCUUCGAUGUCCAGUCUUUGUUGUCCAGUGGCUAUUUGAUGAGGCCCAGCUUACUGUAGACAAUGUACACCUCACUGGCCAGCCUGUUCAGGAAGGGCAGUGGCUCUACAUCCAGAAUCUGGGUAGGGAGCUGAGAAACACCUUGAAGGAUGUGACUGCAAGCUUUGCUCCUGCCUGUUUGUCCCAUGAGAUCAUCACACGCAAUCACUGGACUGACAUCCAGGUGAAGGGAACGUCGUUACCCCGUGCCUUGCACUGCUGGGAUCGGAGCCUGCAUGAGAGCAACAAAAACGGGAAGGCCCCUCUGAAAGGCUGCCCAAUUCACCUGAUUGACAGCUGUCCAUGGCCUCACUGCAACCCCUCAUGCCCCACAAUCAGGGACCAGUUCACAGGGCAGGAGAUGAAUGUGAUCCAGUUCCUCAUGCAUAUGGGGUUCGAUGUUCAGAAGAUGGCACAGCAGCAGGGCCUGGAGCCCAGUAAACUCCUGGGGAUGCUCAGCAGUGAUAACUAGGAAGGGCUUGUCAUAGGGGCAGAGAUUAGAUCAGGAGGAGAGAGACUCUCAGCCCUUCUCCCACACUUUCUGAUCUUCUUCCUUGCACUCCUGCAGGCAGAUGCACGCUCACAUCCAUGCACGCUCACACCUGUGCACACCCAUGUGCUCCCACGCUCUUGCACACUUUAGGGUGUGUCAAGAACAAAACAAACAAAAAAGCAGUUUCUUGCUUACACUGUUUGGCUGGAACUCAUUCCCUCCAAACUCCAGGGCUGAGUUUCAGCCAGUCACAUCCUCUUCCUGUGUUACACAAGGCAAUCGGAUACAGGGAGUAGCAAAGCCAUAAAUAGCAGCGAUGAGAACCUUUCCCAGAUCUGAGACGUCUUCCCUUGCCAUGAAUUUUACAUCAUAGACUUUAUACAAGUGGUGUAAAAAGCAAGCACUGGAUUUCUUCUGUCCAACUAGAAGCGAAGGAGUGAUUACAUGGUUUCCUGGAGUGUUCCUUGUCAUUGUUUCUCUGAUGAAGAGGUUGUAACAUGAGGUUUAAAUACAGAGACUUUCACCCAGCAGACUUCCACAGCGUUUUUGGCUUGGCUGUGAUUUCCCAGGUACUCCAGGACACUCCACUGGAUGGUGCAGGGAGAUCUGGCUUUGCAGUAAAGACCUGUCUUCCAGUGAGGGAAGUGUUUGAUCAGACUGUCAAAAGCAUUUGGAACAGAAAAGACAGCACAAGACAAGCAUCAACAUAUUUCUCUUCUUGUAGUCAUUUGGGAACACACCCACUUCAGCACAGAGAAUGCCCUUUGAUGGCAGGGGGAGGAAAGCAAGAGAGGGAUUGGGAAUUUGUAGAGGAGACCAUUCCUGGGGUGGGAGUUCCCCCCUGCAGCGCAGGGUGUGGGGAGACUUGCAUGAGGAGUAUGCCUUACUCCCUGCUGCAGGAGGUUCUGGGACCAACUGUGUGUGGUUACACAGUGUGUAGGCUACAGAGAAUUUGGGCCUUUUUUUUAGAAAAAUUUCCUGCGCUUUCAGGAUGGACCUUACAAGGUUAGAACGGUGGUGCUGUUUGUGAGAUCCCUUGUCUUGGGUGAGUAAGCCCCAAGAAUGAACCAAACUGUAGGCCUUUGGUUCCUUUUCAUGGACUUCAGGAAAAGUCGGUCAGGAACACUGAGGGAAUCAGCUGUCCUGUUGUGCAUGAUGGGAUUAGCACAUAUUGAAGAUAAAAAAGUAGCUAAAGAGAAAAUGAAUGGUACUACCAGCAGAACUGAAAAGCAGGAAAACAUCACUGGAGUUUCCCUGUGAUCAGUUGGGUGAUUACUGAUAUCCUUUAUGUUUUAAUGACUUGGGUAUAAAAGUAAAAUUACCCUGAUUAUGUUUUUUAUUUGUUUUCUGCUAUGCAGAAGCUACUGACAAAAGGGCAAGGCUGGAAGAAUUCGGUACCAUGUGUUAGUGCUCUAAGAUCUUGCAACUAGAUGAGAUUUUUUUGUCUCAGAGGGAAAGUGCCUGUGGUCCAUUUGGUGCACUGCUCUGCUGGUGUGAUUUUGGGGACCUUUGCCUUUCUGCCAGCACUGCCUUCAGCACUGAGGGCUCUCCAGAGGGCACCACUUCCCCUGGCAUAGCAGAACCUGAGCAGCAGGACCAGCUCUGCCCCCUGAGCCCAGCGUCACUGAUUGGUCAUGGAGUGCAGGCAAGGGGGGAUGUGUCCUCAGGUGGGCUGUGACAUGGAGUGAUCUUGUGCUCUCUGCUGGUCCCUGGGCAGGAAGUAAGUGAUGACCAGGAUAUGCCACAAUACAGUCAGUAGCACACUGCCAAUGAGGCCUGGAAAACUACUUCUAGAGGUGAAGAGAGAGUCAGGAAGGGCAGGACUUUUCAGGGGAGAACCUCAUCACCUGGAGCUCCUCUGCUGUCCUGCUGCAUUUCCUGGUUGUUGUGAUGUUAAUUGUGCAACUUCCACCCCAAAUGAAUACAGGUUUUGUACUUUUAGCACCAGAGGUCUUAAAGAAAAUGGGAGGGACUUGAAUGAAAGAGACGCUGAGGUUACAAGACAGCAUCAAAACUGAAGGUAGGCACAUUUUAGCCUAAAAGC